UUUUAUUGGAUCCAUUAAAAAUUUUUGUAGUGGUUGUUGUUAUGGUUCUCGUUGUCAAAAAGAUUGAUGAUGAAACUGAAAAUAUUGAAGUUGAAAAGCAAGGUAAACGAUUGGCUUUUGAUGAAAAUUGGCUCCACAAGCCUAAAGAUAAAUUUAGAAUGGGUAGUGAUUGUGUAACAAUACAGCCUCUUGAUUAUUCUACAGUAAAAAAGAUGAGUGAGCAAAGACAAAAGCACCAGAAGAUACACGCUAUAAUUACAGAACUUUUUUUGUACAUUUUCUAUGCAUGCUUAGUGUUCUUUAUUGGUUAUUUUUCACAUAGUAGUCUCACUUUCUAUCAAACUCGCAAUGUUCAAGAACUUUUCAAUUUGAAACUAAGAUUGCCUGCAAAUCCAAACAUCCCAUUAUUUAAUCAGAUUCAAUCCUCACAAGAUUUUUGGCAUUGGAUGGAAGAAUUUUUUCUACCACAAGUUUUUCCUGAACCUUGGUAUAACUUAAAUGAUUUUUAUGCAAAUGCAGACAUAAAAAGUUUCCCUGGAAAACUUUUUUUAAAUGAUCUUAACUCGAAAAUUGUGAAUGGAAUACGAAUUAGACAAGUUCGUGUGAAGUCAAACUCUUGCACAAAAGCCAACUCAAUUGUCAAGUUCAUUGCUAUAAAUUGUUUGUCUCCAUAUAAAACUACAUUAGAGGAAACAAAAGGUUUUGAUUUGAAUUGGACUCUUCCAAAACAAUAUAACUCUACAAUUAAUACUUUGACAAUACCUUGGAGGUAUCAAACCUGGCAAGAGCUUGAUGGGUAUCCAUAUAUAGCUAGUUUAAACACUUACUAUGGCGGUGGUUAUGUCAUAGAAUUAUUUUCCAAGUGGAAAAAUCAAGUUAUACUUGAUCAAGCAAAAAAACACAGAUGGAUUGAUAGACAAACACGAGCUGUAAUAAUUGAGUUUGCUUUAUUUAAUGCCGCUACUAAUUAUUUCAACACAGUUACAAUGGCUUUAGAGUUUCCAGCUUCUGGUGGAGUUGUUCCUACUUUUUCUGUUAUAACAUUCAAUUUAUAUGCAUCAGUGACUGAAUCAAAGGCUAUGUUGGGUUUCCAAAUUCUAUUUAUCUUGAUGACUAUAUUAUUUAUUAUUCGAGAAUCUCGUUUUUUAUAUCGAGCUGGUUGUAAAUAUUUUGUAGAAUUUUGGAAUUUAGUGGAAGUUGCAUUGAUAAUACUUUCUAUUACUGCUGUAGGACUUUUCUUUUAUAAAGCAUGGUUCGUGCAAAUAAUGAGUUCCAGAAUAAUGAUUAUGAGAUAGUUGAUUUUAUGUUAAAACGCAUUAAAGGUUGGUUUAAACUUAAACAAAGAAUACCACAGACCCAGACACAAGUACAGUCAGAAAGGAAAUUAUCCUCAAAUAGUAAAAUUAUACAAGUUGCAGAAUAUGUUGAUAAACGUUUAAAAAAAAACGAUUCCAUCAGAAAAGUGGAAUAUAAAAAACUAUAUGCUGUUGAAUUAACUAACGUUUCAUUCGAAAAUUUAUUCUCGAAAUUCGAUUACUUAUUGAACGAGAGUAAACUUGAUAUUGAAAUAAGUGAAACAAUCGAUCAAAUAUUCGAUGAAGAUUUAUUUAAAAAGUUUAUUGAUAGUAUGAAUGUUGUCAAUCAUAAUAAUAAAAAAAAGGUCAAAGUUACAAAAAUGAAUGAAGUUAUUAUGAUGGACACAGAGGAA
rnacentral:misc_RNA from 1 species